UACGAAGGGGGCUAGCGUUGCUCGGAAUGACUGGGCGUAAAGGGCGCGUAGGCGGAUGGCACAGUCAGAUGUGAAAUUCCCGGGCUUAACCUGGGGCUGCAUUUGAUACGUGUUGUCUUGAGUUCGGAAGAGGGUCGUGGAAUUCCCAGUGUAGAGGUGAAAUUCGUAGAUAUUGGGAAGAACACCGGUGGCGAAGGCGGCGACCUGGUCCGACACUGACGCUGAGGCGCGAAAGCGUGGGGAGCGAACAGG
rnacentral:rRNA from 1 species